CCUUCAUUUUAAGAUGAAGGCUGUAAUGGUGCACAAUCAUUUGAGAUGAGAUCAUUUUGGGUGCAGUGUGUGUCUGUGUCUCCAAUCCUAUGGUAGCACACAAUACUGUUUUUAAGCAGCAGACCAGAAAUAAACAAAGGUAACACCCAUGACAGUAAAAUCAGAGAAACUGAACUGGAGUUACUUCAGUUCUGUUAUUCUAUAUGACCGCCUAGAGUUUUUGUGUUUAAAAUUUUAAAACGUGAAACUGUGCAAACUGAGGGUUGUUUUUAUUUGAUAGAUGCACAUUUCAGUUAACACACGAAAUAUUUUACUAAAUUUUAGUAUCAAUUUUAAAACAGAAAAUCUUUUAUUUUAAAACUUAAAAAUAAAGCAAGAGAAAACCCAGUACAUCAGUAAUAUUGUGCUAUUUAGGAAUAAAAAUUAACAGCUAGCACUAAUUGGGGCUCACAAUGUGCUAGACACUGUUACACACACACACACACACACUCACAUUUAUAUUAGCUUAUGAAUACAGCCAAGUCCAGCUAUUAUCCUUAUUUUAAAGAUAAUGUAGUCUGGGAGCACAGAACAUUGUGGUCUGCUCAAGAUUAGCCAACUAGAGUGGCAGAGCUGGAAUCUCAGUCCGGGUCGGGUGGUUCCAACAUCUGAAUUCUUAGAUUCUAGUAAAGGAAAACAAAAGACAAUAUCCCAAAUAAUCUUGCAGGCCGAGGAAACCCUUCAAAAAAGGACAGGAAAGCUUCUUCUCAUCCAUGACGGCUUCUUUCCACUCCUGACUUGUCCCUGCCGGAUCCUGGGCUGAGGGAGGGCCGGCUUCCCAAGGACCUGCCAGAGAGAAUUCUCUUUCCGGGUCCCCUCUCCACCCUCUGAACACCCUCGCCGCGCCCCGGCCCUCCUCUGCCAAGCCCAGGUUUCUGCUGGCCCUUCCCAGCUUCCGGCCCUUAGCUCCAGGCCAGGUCUCUGGGUCCAGGCGGUGCCAGGAGCUCUCAAGUCCUCUAUUUACUGUUUGGUUUCCAUGGUGACACGUAGGCGCCGUCAGCGCCUUCCGUCAUCAGCCCCGCAGCGCGGUCCCCCACCCGGCGCCGUGACGUCUGCCCGCCGCUUCCGCUCUGCCCAUAUUUGGCUCAGCCGCUGUGCUGCCCGCCGGGAGGAGGGAGCAGGAGGAGGCUGGGAACCGGACUCCGUCCUCCUCCUCUCUCUCACCCUCCCCGCGCUUUCCGUCUCUGGCCACGCCCCCGUACGGGUGCUGCGGACCCCUGGGUUCCAACCCCGCGACCCUCGGCAGAGGCAAGGGGUGGGGGCGACAGGGACCGCGAGGGAAGGCGUGGAUGAUUGAUUGACGAGCCCCGGGGUCCCAGACAUUUCUUGUCUCGUUGAGACUGCAGCCCAGAGUUGGGCUGUCUCGUCUGUUUUGGGUUGGGUGAGCUGGGAUCAUGAUUUUCUCCCUCUGUGCCCGGAAAUCAUGGAAACAGCCAUCCUUAGCCUCUGUUUUAUAUUUUAUAGGCUUGAACUUAAAAUCCUCGUCCCUGGCGCAGUGGAAAGCUUUGAAGACCGAGGUUCUGGGAAUCAGUGUUGCCCCUGGGGGGACAAAUGACCUUGGGAAGGUCACUUUCUUUUACUUAGCCUGGACCCUGUUGCUUGGCUCAGAUGGUGGAACGUACAGUAAAGCUGAAUACCGACAUCAGAGCUCCUUAAAGGGUGCCAGUGGCAUGCCUCUUGUCCCACACAACCCACAGCAUGACAUCAGGGCCUGGGGUGAUGGCCAGGAGGUGUGUUAUCCCCAAA